GAUGCUGCGAAGAUGUGAUACAACAUUCGUCAACGAUUUGGUAAAGAAAGACGGAAGGUAAUAGUAAGUCUCAAAGGGAAAUCCGGACAAGAACUGUCAGUAAUUAUACGUCAAAGAAAAUUAUGAAUAAGAUCACAAUCACAGAGAAAACUUCCCUUCCUUCUUUACUGAUUUUACCUUCAUCUUCAACAUCACCUUCACUAUCAUCAAGAUCAAUAUCGUCUCCACAAGUAUCAUAUCCACAAGCACUAUCUCCACAUACACCGUCUGUACAAGUAUCAUAUCCAUAAGCACCAUCUACACAUACACCGUCUCCACAAGUAUCAUAUCCACAAGCACCAUCUCCACAUACACCGUCUUCACAAGUACCGUCUCCACAAGUAUCUCCACAAGCAUCAGUGCUUUUGUCUCCGUCAAGUAUAUGGUCUACAAGUGAUUUGGAGUCAGUGUUUAGCAAUGAUGAUGCAUCUAUAUCCUUGAUUGAGAAUAGCAAGGAAAAAGUUGCUACACGUACGUCUGUAUUGUCUAGUAAUCUCAAUGUGGAGGAAUGUUCUUCUGCAGUAGUUAAUGCACCAAAGAAAAAGCUGAAAUCGAUACAGAAGUUGUCAACAAAAAGAACUAUUCCUGAACCAGAUAACUACGCUAAACGCAAGAAGAAAGAGGAUGAACUAUUUGUACAAGCUAUGACCAGGCAAUCAACAGCCUUGACUUCUGUCGCUCAAAAAAUAGAAGAAUCCUUGACAAAUUCCAAUCAAUACAAUUGUAAUCAAUCUUCACAAUCAACCGUGAAUGAUCCAGUCUCAAUUGUCAUUGCAUAUGCUCUUAAAUCUGUACCUGAAGAAAAGCGUCUUGAAUGUAUGGUAGAAAUACUCCAACUUAUAAAUUCAAAAUAUGUACAGCUAUAGCUUUUAAGGUUUAAGUUAAAGGUUCUCUGUUUUCGACCGAGCAAUAUGAAUAGUACGUUGAAAGAUUAUAAGACUGCUUGAAAUGUAAGAAAUAAAAA